rnacentral:rRNA from 1 species
UACGUAGGGUGCAAGCGUUGUUCGGAAUCAUUGGGCGUAAAGCGCGUGUAGGCUGUUAGUUAAGUCAGAUGUGAAAGCCCUCGGCUCAACCGGGGAAGUGCAUUUGAAACUAACUGGCUAGAAGACGGUAGAGGAAGGUGGAAUUCCAAGUGUAGAGGUGAAAUUCGUAGAUAUUUGGAGGAAUACCUGUGGCGAAGGCGGCCUUCUGGACCGAUCUUGACGCUGAGGUGCGAAAGCGUGGGGAGCAAACAGG